UCAAGGAAGGAGUCACCUCUCCCCUGUCUCCAACCCGGUUACUUUCUAAUUAUAGCAUUACGAGACAUCAAGACAACGUGCUUUGGCAGAAGACAUCGAGCAAUUUAAAACACAUUUUACUUCUUGGAGAUUUCGAGUUAUAUAAAUCAGCUGGAUGUUACAGACUUCUCUAGCACAGCUGGGCUCCUAUAUACAAUGGCAUCUCAUGCAAACAGGACCCUGAAAUGUCUUCAAGUAUGACCACCAGGACUGGAGGUGUUUCAUCAGUGGUGGACGCCUGCCUCCAGCAGCCAGCCAGUCAGCAUGGAGCUUCACGGUGUGGCCUUUGGAAUAAGAUUGACAUGGGUUUGCUGCCCAAGCUUCCCACCAUGACAAUGGUCAUGGGGUUCCACUGGAGUUCUGCGGGAAAAGGCUGGUGAACAUUGGCUUUGGGAUCCAUGGAGCAGCAGUGUGCAUCAGAAAUGCAGAGCACACGGGAACUGGCUGGAAUGUAUCCCUCCCUCCCGGGUUAGGGGGCGGGAUGGGGAUGUUAUUCUCAGAGAAUAACACUGAACUUUACAGGGUGUCUCCCCAAAAUUCCGAAUAGAGAGGAAGCAGUCUGGCACACCCAGCAAGUUGACCUUCAACAAGACAGCAUGCCUGGAGUCUGUCUGCUCAGUGUCAUGCUGACCAAACGCAAACGGAAGGAUGGGCUCUGUUCUUCACCCUAAAGCUGAUGGAAUUCACUGGAUCGCCCUGGGAUGACAGCCGGGUUCUGAGAUCAACAGUCAAAAUUGGCACUUGAGGCAAAGAGCUGUUGACGCAUGCCGGAUCCCCUCGGGGAGGUGGAGGUGGUAGUUGUUGGAUGGAACACAUUGACCCACGCACUCCCUCUCCCCUUCCCAGCCCCUUCCUGAGUUCUGCCUCUUACUCUCUCCUCAAGCCCAGGGCCUUUUGCUCACAUUCCUAGUUUGUGGUUUGUUUAUUGCGUUUUCCCUCAAUCUUUGAAAAUCUCAUCCAUAUUUGAUGUUUGUGGUUGUGUUACCUAUCAUCAGCCUUCCUGGCUGAGUAAGAUGGUCUAUCUUUGGCUCCAGUUCCCCACCUCUCUCUGU
rnacentral:lncRNA from 1 species